UCGUGAAUCCUUUCGCCUCCUCUUCUCUUCUCAUUUUUUUCACCCUCUCCCUCUCUAACCUGCAACCAUGACGUCGGCGUCGCCGCCUCCUCCUCAACCGCGUCCAUGUCGCUCACCUUCCACGGCGCCGGCCUCCGCCUCGACCGCGUGCACGUCUGUCAAUGACGCCCCUUGCCGCCAUCAACCUCCACCUUUGCCUCCGUCGCCGCCUCUGUCAGCUACCACGGCCAGCCGCCAUGCCAAUGACGCACCCAAAGACGCGCGGUCUUACUCACUAUUAUUACCCCAGCACUCAUCUACUGGUCAUCAUCAACAAACCAUACUUGGAUUCUUAAGAGGAGAGAAAAAUGUAGAUACAAAAUUUAGAAGAAUAAUGUUCUCACUAGAGAACAAAAAUUAGUUGAAGAUUGCAACAACUUUACAUACAACAUCGUGGGCGUCUUGCUAGCACCGGCAAUGGUACUAUCACCAUCACCAUUAUCCAUGAGAUGGAAUUAUACAAUGAGGUUGCUAGAUAUGGGGGACAAAAAAGACUUGCUAAUCUUGGAUGUGAAAGCGCUCAUUGGGUUAAUGGUGACCUUUUGAUUCUUGAUGGUAACCGGUAACGUAUUUAUCUUUCCUAUUAACUAUGUGUUUGUUUAUUUUAUUAUGGGGCGUAUUUUAAGAUAAAGCUACAUUGAAUUUUGUAGUUCAUCAAAUAGGGACCUUUUAUUUCUUUUGUUUGCUGGCACCUAAUUUUUAUUUCGUCGAAUUCUGCCACCAGUUGAAAUUUUGUAUCUAUAUGCGUUAAAGAGGCAAAGGAUGAGAGAAACUAUGUAAGGUUAUUGAGUUAUGUUUUUUAUUUAUUUGUUUGUAUCAUAUUAUUAAUAUUU